AAUAUAUCUAUGGUAUUUUUGUUGUUUAAAAACCACCGGGUGUGCGUGUGUGCUAGGUUAGAAGAAAUCGUGCUUGAAAAUAUCGGUGUCAGAACGGUGAAAUUAAUGUAGUACAAUGGAAAUAGACUACAACCACAAGGAUGAAAUCAAAAAACCUGCGAAGAAGCCACCAAAGAAAGGAAUAGUGUAUCUUUCUAAUAUUCCUGCUUACAUGACUGUCACAAAGCUCAGAGAAAUUAUGAGUGAAUACGGUUCUGUUGGAAGGAUAUACUUAGCUCCUGCUCUCAGCGGGAAAGACAAGGGGGCGCCGGCCAAGACGAAGGUGUCCCGGCGCUUCUCGGAGGGCUGGGUGGAGUUCGAGCGCAAGUGGCUGGCCAAGCAGGCGGUCCAGCUGCUCAACAACUGCCGGAUCGGCCGCAGCAAGAAGAGCAAGUUCUACGACCACAUCUGGAACAUCAAGUACCUGCACAGCUUCAAGUGGGUGCACCUGAGCGAGCGGCUGGCGUAUGAGCGCGCCGUGCACAGCCAGAGGGUCCGCGCGGAGAUCUCGCGCGCCAGGAAGGAGGCCACGUACUUCUCGCUGAACGUGGACAAGAGCCGGCGGCGGCAGAGACAGCCCCAGCACGGCCAGGGGGCGGGGGGCGCGGACGGGCCGGCGCGGCUGCCCACGUACCGCCAGCGCGAGACGGACGGCGAGAUCCGGGCGCGGAAACACCAGCCGCGCGCCGGCGACGAGGAGUCGGAGUGAAGACAUAGGUGCGGCGCCGAUCGGAGGAGGGGAGACGAGGAGCAAGAAGCACACAGGAGGGGACGACGUGCCUACGCCCGCGCAGAUGCGGGUCGAACGAGGAAGGGCACUCACCUUCUUGACGGCGGGCAGCUCCAUGAGGGGCAGCAGCUCCUGGGUGCAGCAGUGGGACAGCUGCAGCGAGAAGGUCACCAGCAGCUCCUUGAAGGCCCACAGCUCCUGCAACUCCUGCAAGACACACGCCGACUCCAGCCGCGAUUCUUCCGAUACAGUACAGUGAACAAUCUGUUAGUGGUGGUGCUUCUAGCGCGGUGUCUCCUCCGAGUGGAAGGUUGUGGACUGCGCAAUAUAUGUCAGACAUUAUAGUGUUGAAAAUAAUGACAAAUGUGCAAUGCGAGUCCCUCGAGUGCUUUCAGGAAUCUUCACCGAGAUUCCGCAUACCUAAAUAUAAUUCUGAAAACACACAUUUUAGUUGUGAAGCUCUUAAAAAAUACAAUUUAAUUAGAGAUGGGCAGAGAUUUGAAAACUCGAGCAGAGUUGAGCGAGUAGUAAGGCUCAACUCGACAGUCAAAUUUACUGUACUUAAAUUAUUGCAGUUUUUUAAAGUAUAGUUAAUUUUACAAGAUUAUACUGCCUGAAAAAGUUACACGUUUAUUCUGCUAUUUACUAGACACCUGCGAGUACUCGAAAUUCGAGUUUCGAGUCGAGUUUUUUAGUAAUACUCGAACUCGAGCUCGUGGCUUUUCAACAACUCGAAAUUCGAGCGAGCUUUUCUUGCACUCUACCUAUAGAAAAAAAAAGACUCUCAUUAUAAGGGAAUAAAAGUCUUACAACACUAUUAUCCUUUACUUUAUAAUGUAACAUGAUCGACCGUAUACAUGAACACAUCAUUUUUACGUACCCGGGAUUUACGAAUUUCCGUGAUGAAUUUUUUUUACUUCUAUAAUUUUCCGCAUAGUUUUAAUGUAUCACUUUCCUGCUUUAUGCGGAAGUAUUUCCCGCUUUAUGCGGAAACAUUUCCCGCAUUUUACUGUAAAAAGCGUUUAAAUUGUCCGGGGUCUCAUCAUUUACGCCAUAAAAUGUGUGAUAUAAAGUCCCGUUUAAAAUUUUUAUGAAAGUUCCUGCCAGUAAUGGCGCACGUAAAUAUAAAUACAGCGAAACCCCUUAUUUACGUUACCGUUAUUUACGUUUUCCCGUUAUUUGCACUAUAUUCUUCAGGUCCCGUUUGGUUCCCAUAUAGUCCAAUACAAUACUUUCCCGCGAAUUACGUCUCAAAAAUCGAAUCAAUCCCGCUAUUUACGUCACGUAACAACCAUAAACAACCAGAAAAUACCGUGGAGCUAGUAGGCAAUGAACAUUUUAAAUAGCAAAAUAUACAUAUUUUAUAACAUGAAAAGUUGCUUUUAUUUCUAAACAUGUAAUAAUUUAAGCCUAGGCGUGUAAAAGUACGAGUAAUUAUAGCAGGAGACAAUCUAAAAUGCACGAGGGAAAAACGUAAACUCAUGAAUGUACAAACAUGGCUGCUUGUAAGUUCUGAUACUGUAUUUAUGUCACAACUUAGCCGAAAUACUGGUACGAGACAUAAACUUCACAAGAUAAAAUGAGCGGUGUCUUGGUAACUGUUUUAUACGUAUUUUAUAAUUUGGGAAGUAUUGUACAGUUGACGCCAUAUUUUUUAAACUAACCAUUUAUUUCUGGGGAUCGUAAAUAAUUAAUUAUUGGUAUCAAGACAUCAUGAUAAACGUAAACUUGAACAUGUCACGGCAGCGAGAAAACUGGUGCGUAUACCAAUAAAUUGGUAUUAGAACUGGAUAAAAUUGGUACACGGGAGGUGGAGCUUAUAUUUUUUUCCGCUAAGCUCGCAUCUAUUGGUUGGCGGCUGAUGGCGUCAUGAGUCUGGGCGGAGCAUAGAGUGCGCAUGCGCCGCCGCGUCGUUACAGCAGCUGACCAAGUACAAUGACCUUUCUCCGCGUUUGGCGCGCUAUUGACGGUAAAUAUUCAUCAAUUUGCGGCCUUUUCUUAAAAAUUUUUUUACUGUGAGCAAUGUGUAUGUAGCCCGUAUUUGUUAUAAAUCCUGCCGGUUGCAACUGUAUUUAUAAUUUGGAGAGGCAAAUAAUCUCCUUGAACAGCUAAAAAAGCAAGCAGAAGAAAAUUUCAAAUUUAUUUUUUAGGAAGUAAUCAGAAAAACAUUUUGGCUUUCAUUCUUUUUUUAUUUUUGUCAAAUGUGGUAAAUUAAUAAUUGAUUAAAUACUAAAGUAAAAUUUGCUGUUAGUGUGUUUGUACCUGCAUUGUAGUAUGUGCUAUUAAACAAAAGGAAAAAAAUUCUAAAUAAGGUAAACUGUACUCCUUUUUAUACUUUUCCCUUUAUUUACACUUUCCCGCUUUUUACACUUUUUUACUUUGUCCCCAUGAAAAGUGCAAAUAAGGGGUUUUGCUGUAUGAAGAAAAGACAAAUGAACAACAACUUACGAAGAAAUAUGGAUGAUGUACCAUAACUACAGUACAAUUCCAAUAGUUAUCUUAAGAUAAUUACCAUAAAAAGAACUAAAGAUUCUUUGUGGAUACUAUAACUACUGCAGAAGCAUGAUAGUUACCACAUUUGCACUAUAGUUGCCGUAAUAACCGAGAUGUGUAUUUACCGUGAUGGUAAUGUAUUUAUUUAGGACAUAUUAAAAAAAAAGGAUGUUAAAUCUUGAUAUGUACGGUUGGCACAUGUUGCUAAGAAAUAAUGCGAUCUGAAAGAAUGCAGUACUACUACGAAAAGUAAAAAGGGUACUCGUGGAUUUUUAGGUUAUGGCAGUCUCUUUCGUUUUUCAGUAAUAUCGGCCGAAAAUUAACAAGAGUAUUGGAAGUUGGCAGAAAUGCCGAUUCAACUAAAUAUUGGCAAAAUCGGCUUCUUCAGUACAGCUCUACAUUUGAUGACAUGAGUAAACAUAUUUCAGACUACAGGACAUUGAAAAAGACUUUAAUUUCCAUGUAGGUUUAUUGUGCGUAAGUUUUUUUUUGCAAGUGUAAAUUGAAUUAAGUAAAAUGCUUCUAUUUUUAUUACUUUAAAUUGAUUAAACUUAAUGACAAGUUACAGAUAUUUGACACUAAUUUUGAGGUUAAACAAUUUGGUAAAUAUGUAGAGUAACGGUAUAUGCGAAAAAAAAUGCUAAAAAUCCGAAAAUACUUUUAUUCUAUGCUCUUUCACUUCCUCUUUUCAAAUCAACCGGCGGAGAUAAGAAAUUCCAAAUACUUUAGGAGAUAUAGAAUUUUUUAAUUUUGCAAUACAACACCUGUACAACCAUUAGACCGACGCCAUUUUUGUUAUUUUGCCGUGUGUUCGUGAAUGCGUAAUAAAUAAAAUGGUCGAUUAGGUCAGGUCAGUUACAUUAUUAAUACUUUCAAACUAAGCGGACAUAAAAAAUAAUGUGAAUUAAUUUCAAUGGUUCUUUAGUUUUAAAGUAUUUAUAAUGUAACUGACCUGACCUAACAAACCCGGACAAUAUCCAAAUAAAAAAUAAGACUUUAAAAUUAGAAACGUUAAAAACCCACCUAAGUUGGAGGCAGGUACAUUUCCUUUGCCAUUAGAAGGAAAUGAUGUAGUCGUUCACCUACGUCGCGAUACCUCCGACGGAUUAAUAAAUAAAUAAAUAAUCACGUAUUGGUUCAUUUGAAUACUGGCCAAUCACGGAACUGUCACGUGACAAAAUUGUCCAAUAAGAAACAUAAUAGAUACUCGUAAACCAGAAACAAUGGUGAUCGCCGCAUGAAUACCCAGGUAUUGUGAUGAAAAUUAAAAAAUUCAAUAUUCCUAAAGUAUUUGGAAUUUCUUAUCUCCGCCAGUUGAUUUGAAAAGAGGAAGUGAAAGAGCAUAGAAUAAAAGUAUUUUCGGAAUUUUAGCAUUUUUUUUCCGCAUAUACCGCGACUCUACAUAUUUACCAACAAUUUUACUAAAGCAUUCCAGCCACACAGGUUGCCAGCGAGAGAUGCUUCUCAUCUGCUGUAAACACCAUCUCCAAUCGUAGAGCUAAUUUAACUCCUGAACGUGCAGAACAAAUUAUUUUUCUGCAUGAUAGAUUGAAGAACAGAAUUUAAUACUCUAUGACAAUCUCUCUCAGAAUUUUGGUGCCGAAAAGUGGAAAUGUUGAAACAAUGUGAAUGUACUUUUCAAACAACAUGAUUUUUGGUGCUCAGUUAGUUGAAGCUCAGUAAGGACUCCAGAAAAAUUGACAAGGAUGAAAUUAUUCCAAAGUUAUGUUACAUUUACACAAACAUAUACGUACUUGUAAACUGUGGUUAUGUUAGUUGGAUGAUAUCAGUUACUAAUGAACCAAUGGAAACAGGUUAGAUUCAAUGGAAAACAUGUUUUUUUUCCUAGCAGUGCAAAUUAUAAAAGCACUCUGUAAAUAGUUACCCAAAAUUAAUAAGCCCACUUCAUUUUAAUACUUUAUUCAAACAUUAUACCUACUAAGUUUAAGGUAAAAAUAAUUUCCCAAAAGUGUAACUGUAUCACAAAAGCUCAAGCUUCGAGAACUUUCAAGUAGGCUCGCUCGAGCUUGGCUCAAAGUAAAAUUCUUAGGCUCGCAGACCUCUAAUGUAGGUCUAUCUAUUUAGUAGGCUAACAAUGAUAAUGGUUUCUUUUUUUAUUUCCAUAUUUUUCUCAAAAGUUCUCACAUUUUAUUACUCCAUCACAGUAAAUUUAUGUGCAAUAAACUGAAAAAAAAAACUCGAACUCGACUCGAUACUCGCGAGUAUUUUAGCAAACUCGCUCGAGCUCGACUCGAAGUGAAAAUCUUCUGCUCGCAGAAGCCUACUAUUUACAUUUAAGAACAUUGUAAAUCAUGAAACCAUUUUUAGUAUUGGUGUUCACCACUUACAAGACUAAUUAGUAACGAUGGCAAACAGUUAUAUUUUUGUCUACAAUAAAAGUUAUUACAGUGAAAUGGAAAUCUCAUUAAAACGAACCUGAAAAAAACCCAAAUUUUUGGUACUUUAUACUGAACUGUUACUAAAUGUAAAACUACUUGUUGGGACCUGAAAAUAUAUACUUUGAAAUGAGAAAUCCUACACUGUGAGGUACUUUAUGAAAUUUUACUAUAUUUAUUUUACACUAAAUUUAAUGCCCUGUUUUGUAAAUAAAUUCUUGACAUGAUGUUUGAAAAUGUCUAGUAUUAAUUUUUAAGUCGGGACAUUCGUUUCCAACAAGAAAAUGGCAGAAGGAACAAAAACAAAUAUAAAGUUAAAUUUCUGUUUGUUUAAAUUUUUUUGUUUUGGUAUGGUUACAUAACUUAUGUGAAUGAUUUUUUUAAUAUUGUAAAAAAAAUUGUGUAUACCUAGUACUAAUGCUGCAAUGAACCUUGUUAUUCAUUCGAUUGUUUUCUAAAACAAACUCAGUCUGGAUGUAAUUCUUAUCCUUUUGUCUAAUAAAAUUAAAAAAUCAUA